rnacentral:tRNA from 1 species
GGGGAAUUAGAUCAGCUGGGAGACCCCCUGCUUUGCAAGCAGGGGGUCAUCGGUUCGAUCCCGAUAUUCUCCA